UACAGAGGUGGCAAGCGUUGUUCGGAAUUACUGGGCGUAAAGGGCGCGUAGGUGGCCUUCUUAGUCAGACGUGAAAUCCCCAGGCUUAACCUGGGAACUGCGUCUGAUACUGGAAGGCUUGAAUUCGGGAGAGGAAUGCAGAAUUCCAGGUGUAGCGGUGAAAUGCGUAGAUAUCGUAAGGAAGACCAGUGGCGAAGGCGGGUCUCUGGACAGUUCCUGACGCUGAGGCACGAAGGUCAGGGGAGCAAACGGG
rnacentral:rRNA from 1 species